CCUACGGGAGGCAGCAGUGGGGAAUAUUUCACAAUGGGCGAAACCCUGAUGCAGCGACGCCGCGUGAGUGAAGAAGGCCUUCGGGACGUAAAGCUCUAUCAUCAGGGAAGAAAAUGACGGUACCUGACUCAGAAGCCCCGGCUAACUACGUGCCAGCAGCCGCGGUAAUACGUAGGGGGCCAGCGUUAUCCGGAUUUACUGGGGGUAAAGGGAGCGUAGACGGCAGCGCAAGUCUGGAGUGAAAUCCCAUGGCUUAACCAUGGAACUGCUUUGGAAACUGUGCAGCUAGAGUGCAGGAGAGGUAAGCGGAAUGCCUAGUGUAGCGGUGAAAUGCGUAGAUAUUAGGAGGAACGCCAGUGGCGAAGGCGGCUUACUGGACUGUAACUGACGUUGAGGCUCGAAAGCGUGGGGAGCAAACAGGAUUAGAUACCCCUGUAGUC
rnacentral:rRNA from 1 species